rnacentral:lncRNA from 1 species
GCGGAAACGACCCUUAGAGGCAGGCGCGUCAGCAUCCUCGUAGUGGGUGAGUCUCGGUAGCAGUUUCAUGGUUUCCAACCGAGGCGUUCCGACGAAACUUUCUCCACACUGUCCGCAUCUUCACGAGAGGCCGAGCAGACUCGAGCGCCCAGCCGGAUUGUCGAGCCUCCGAAGAGCAAAGCCGAGUCGGUCGGGAUCUUCCAGUCCCCUGUUCGCAGAUGGACAAACUGACGCCCUGUCCAGAAAAAGACCGGACUGGAGGCUUCCCGGUCUUUAGUGGGAGAGCAGGGGCUGCAACGGUUGCUCGGCCAACCACAUCUUGGGCCUCAUAAGUAAAGUUAUCCGGGACCCAGCGCCUUUUCUUUACAAGCCUGGUGUCGUUGACUUCUCCCGAGCGCUUUGUGAGAUCCGUGUUGUACAAUGUACCUAAGCUAAACCCCGCUUCCCUUCAGUGUCGGGGUCAAUCUAGCGCUCAACAGGCGUAGUUAAUUGAGGUUGAUUUGUGCGAGGCCCUGCUUCAGACACUGCUGAUAUUUGGAACAAGGAGUGGUUCAAAAAAUUUCCUGGAGAAGGCGAGAAGUCGUUUAAGACUUAAUGCCCUAAUUUUGGAUCGUCCUUACAAAAACGUAAGGAUGGAGCAGCUAGUUUAUUCAGAAGGCAAGAUCCAGGGUAGCCCGAAGUUCGAGUCUCCGGGUGUGACCAAGAAUAGUACACGUCCCUGGACCUUCGUAUGGUUAUCUUCAAAAUGGUGAUGAUUUUUCUUAGAAGCACCUGGUACAAUUAUUUGCGCAGAACAAAUGCCCCAAAAUGAUAGUUAUUGUUAAAAAUGUAAGGUGUAAAAAUAUGAUUACAGAAUGAGUGCAUGCUGUACCCAUUACUUUUCAUUGUUAUUUACACUUAGGUCUUAAACCAAUUCACAUGAUACAAAAUGUCAAAUGUGCAAAAGAAUGUAAGAAAACGGAGUCGUUUACCUCUUCCUGACACACUCCUUGGCAACCACUAAAGUUUAUUGGUGUAUUUAACAGAGAUGUUUUAUUUAUUUUUAUUAGCGUUUUUCACAUAAACGAUAGGCAUUCAGCAUUUUGCCUUCCCCACCUCACCCCAACUUGGAGAUCUUUUUUAAAUAAAGCUUAAGGUUGAAGAAAGCUUUGGUUAAAUUAAUGGGGCAUGUGUUCAUACAUAAUUAGCUAAAAUAAGCUUAGAUUGUUCCUGAGCACCAUAACAAUAGAGCUGUUAACUUGGCUUUAGCCAGAAGUUAGAGAUCAGCUAUGCGUCUGUAUGACACUUGAGGGAAGAUGCAGAGAAGUAGGGCAACUUGACCAAGCUAACAGCGCUACCAAGUGGCAGAACGAGGAAGAGUUCUAGUUUUCUGACUCUCAAGUCCUUAGACCUCUCUUGGAAGGAUCCCUAGGUUACAUUUUCUUUUUUGGCCAAGUCACUCAGCUUGCAGGGUUUUAGUUCCCUCACUAGGGAUCGAACCCGGACCCCCAUCAAUGAAAGCACUGAAUCCUAACUACUCAUGCGAGGCAGGGUAUUCCCAAGAUUACAUUUCUGAAAAACUGGCUUUUGAGUAUCUCAUUCUUCUAAAGCAGCCCCUAUUAAAUCUCUUUGAUAUAGGGGCAGAUCAGAUCAUGACUAGGCUUCCCUGCUGGCUCAGUGGUGAAUAAUCCACCUGUCAGUGCAGGAGACUUAGAUUCGGUACCUGGGUGGGGAAGAUCUGGAGAAGGAAAAUGGCAACCCACUCCAGUAUUCUUGCCUGGGAAAUCCCGUGGACAGAGGAGUCAGACACAACUUAGAGACUAAGCAGCGGCAGUUGCUUUACAGUGUUGUGUUACUUUCUGCUGUACAGUAGGGUGAUAUGUGCAUACAUAUGUAUUGUUCAGUCGCUUGGUCGUGUCCGACUCUUUGCAACCCCAUCAACUGCAUCACACCAGGCUUCCCUGUCCUUCACUGUCUCCCAGAGCUUGCUCAAACUCAUGCCCAUCGAGUCGGUGAUGCCAUCCAACCAUCUCAUCCUCUGUCGUCCUUUUCUCCCGCCUUCAAUCUUUCCCAGCGUUAGGGUCUUUUCCAAUGAGUCAGUUCUUUGCAUCAGGUGGUCAAAGUAUUGGAACUUCAGCGUCAAUACCUCCAAUGAAUCUUCAGGGUUGGUUUCCUUUA